CAUGUCGUACAGUCGCUGCCCGCUGGUCUUCUGCCUCGCAGUUCUGUUUUCCAGAGUCUGUUUCUGUCAAACCACAAACGAAGACCCACUUGAGUUGCCUCCUUCAUAUAGCCAUUAAUGUGCCACAACGUUGCAGAGAUGGCUGGACCCUAGUCAAUGAUGUAUGUUCACCGGUGAUCAACUUAAUUGCACUGAAUAAGGACUCGAUCGGGAGUCUGUAAGAUGAAGAUUCCAACCGGAGGAGCAAUAGUGAAUGCAAUGGUUUACAUUUUUCAGCCCAUUAUCAUCGCGCAUUUUAUAACAAAAACUAACACAUGUAGUGUUCUUCAGCUUUUAUGACUUAGAGGAUAGCAUGUUGCCGUUUUAUUUGUAUUCAAGAUAUUUGUAAGAGAAAUGAAUGUGCUGAUUACAAGACUGUUUUCUAAAAUAUUAUCUCCAUAAUCAUGAGUUUUAUUAUCAAACUAUGGUUACAAUGAUUAUUUUGUUCCUUGAUGUAUUCCACAAUUUAUUGAUGUGGUGUACUAUGACACUGUGUAUGAUAAUAACUGUCAGAACAAUAAAAAUCAAGUAAACAAUGAA